AACGCCUUUAUCUCCCCAGAUUUUUCUCUCCUUUCUUGUCUUUUUCGUGCGUUGUGAGAGCGAGGGGGAGAGAGAGAGAGUUGGAGAGCGGAGUAUCAAACCCUGGCCAUAUCAUCUAUAGAUUUCUGCCGUCUUCCUUCUAGUUACCGAUCGCGCCGUCGUUCGCUUGAGGCACUGUCGCCGGCGAGUCUGCUGCCAUUUAGCCAGCCACUGUCUCUGUUAUGGGAAGUGGAGCACGCAAGAGUUUGGGUUGCCCGUUGGAGGACCGUUACUGAAAAUCCUUCUCCCUGUUCAGUUGAGAUGGAGAAUCAACAUCAAGAAUUGCACCAACAUCAAAAUUGAUUCCAUUACUGCUAUCAGCUGCAGCUUCUGUGAAGCAAUUGAGAAGGAGAAUGGAAGUGAACGCAGCAGCAAAAAGAAGAAGCAAAAGGCUUCGAUCUGCAUUAUUCAUAGCCUUGGAACGAAUAAGUUUGAUGAUUUAUGUCAGCUAUAAGAUUGCAAGUCGUAGUUGUGUUUGCGUCCUUCAGCUAGCAAAAGUUACAGAAAUCAAGCCUUAUGUAUAAUAGUUUGAUGAUGGAGGUGAGAACCAGUUCGGCUGUUUCUUGCACAAGUUGCAAAAGAUCGAUUUGAGCCGGCUUAGAAGUCAAAUAAAGUGACGAUAAAUCUUCCGGGUUCUGCGAGUAGUUCUUGAAAAUUAGAAUCUUUGACUAGAAAUGUUGUGUUGAAACGUGUCAGUAACAGAGACACGUAAACAGGAAUUUUGUUAUCUGACGAUUUUUUCUUGGGAAAAUUUGCCAGAAAUAAUUAAAAAAAUUCCUUAAAUUUCUGAAACUUCAUUACAAGUUCAGAAUACUAAAUUGAAAUUAAAAUUCUUCAAAACA